rnacentral:rRNA from 1 species
UAGGGAAUCUUGCGCAAUGGGCGAAAGCCUGACGCAGCAACGCCGCGUGAGGGAAGAAGGCUUUCGGGUUGUAAACCUCUUUCAGGUGGGACGAAGCUUCCAGGGUUAAUAGCCCAUGGGGUGACGGUACCUCCAGAAGAAGCCCCGGCUAACUACGUGCCAGCAGCCGCGGUAAUACGUAGGGGGCAAGCGUUGUCCGGAAUCAUUGGGCGUAAAGCGCGUGUAGGCGGCUUGAUAAGUCCGGUGUGAAACCUUGGGGCUCAACCCCAAGCCUGCACCGGAUACUGUCUCGCUUGAGUUCGGGAGGGGAGAGCGGAAUUCCUAGUGUAGCGGUGAAAUGCGCAGAUAUUAGGAAGAACACCAAUGGCGAAGGCAGCUCUCUGGAACGAUACUGACGCUGAGACGCGAAAGCGUGGGGAGCGAACAGG